UACGUAGGGGGCUAGCGUUGCUCGGAAUCACUGGGCGUAAAGCGCACGUAGGCGGGUCGUUAAGUCAGGGGUGAAAUCCUGGAGCUCAACUCCAGAACUGCCCUUGAUACUGGCGAUCUCGAGUUCGGGAGAGGUGAGUGGAACUGCGAGUGUAGAGGUGAAAUUCGUAGAUAUUCGCAAGAACACCAGUGGCGAAGGCGGCUCACUGGCCCGGUACUGACGCUGAGGUGCGAAAGCGUGGGGAGCGAACAGG
rnacentral:rRNA from 1 species